UUCCAAAGUAGAUCCCCCACCCUCCUUUCCCUCUCAGAGUGAUUAAAGAGCGAAUGUGAGGUGGUGACAGUUCUGGCUUUUGAUCAUGUUGCCUGUCGGUGGAGUGUUGACUAGUGGGGAGUCUGGCCAGGUAUCUUAUAAAGGGGCACAUCACGAGUCAAGGAGAAAGAAAGACUUUGGCAAAUCAAUGCUUGCAGCAAUUGAGAGUAAAGACAAAAGAUCAGUGACUCUGAAGUGUUGGGUUGUGACCCAAAAUUGGGUCACAGGUCUUAGUGGUGGCAAGUGUUGCUGUCGGUUCUUCAGAUCUAUCAAUUGUCUGUUUGACGAAGACAUCAAGAUCAGGGUGUGUGAGGAGGCCAUCCUGUUUUCUGUCAGCAUAAGCAGGUCUUUGCAUUCUCUGCCAGCGCUCAUGUGUGUUCAAGUUCCUUAAUGAUGCCCUGCUCCUGUCACACAAACAUUUAAAAUAAACCACUCCGAGCAAGGGAGUGCA
ensembl:lncRNA